rnacentral:rRNA from 1 species
GAUGAACGCUGGCGGCGUGCUUAACACAUGCAAGUCGAACGGAAAGGCCCAAGCUUGCUUGGGUACUCGAGUGGCGAACGGGUGAGUAACACGUGGGUGAUCUGCCCUGCACUUCGGGAUAAGCUUGGGAAACUGGGGCUAAUACCGGAUAGGACGAUGGUUUGGAUGCUAUUGUGUGAAGAUUUUUCGGGGUGGGGUGAGCUCGCGGCGUUUCUGCUUGUUUGUGGGGUCAUGGCCUACCCAGGGGUUGCCGGGGAUACCGGGCGGGAGGGGGUCAGGGGCCAAUUUGGGUGAGAGACGGGCCACAGACCGACGGGGGGGAGCAGAGGGGAAGAUUGCACAAUGGGGGAAAGCCUGAUGCGGAGACGCGGCGUGGGGGAUGACGGCCUUCGGGUUGUAAACUCCGCUCGCUAGGGACGAAGCGUGUUUGUGACGGUACCUGGAGAAGAAGCACCGGCUAACUACGUG